rnacentral:rRNA from 1 species
GUGCAGCAGGCGCGAAACUUUACAAUGUGCGAAAGCACGAUAAGGGAACUCUGAGUGCCUCCUAAGGAGGCUGUUCAGGUGUCUAAAAGCACCUGAAGGAAGGGCUGGGUAAGACCGGUGCCAGCCGCCGCGGUAACACCGGCAGCCCAAGUGGUAGCCACGUUUAUUGGGUCUAAAGCGUCCGUAGCCGGCUGGGUAAGUUCCUUGGGAAAUUUGGCUGCUUAACAGUCAAGCUUUCAGGGAAUACUGCUCGGCUUAGGACCGGGAGAGGUCAGAGGUACUCCAGGGGUAGGGGUGAAAUCCAUUAAAUCCUUGGGGGACCACCGGUAGCGAAGGCGUCUGACCAGACCGGGUCCGACGGUGAGGGACGAAGGCUAGGGGCGCGAACCGGAUUAGAUACCCGGGUAGU